CCUACGGGUGGCAGCAGUGAGGAAUAUUGGUCAAUGGCCGGAAGGCUGAACCAGCCAUGCCGCGUGAAGGUCAGUGCCCUUUGGGCGUUAAACUUCUUUUGUGCGGGAGCAAUAAUGGUCACGUGUGGCCAGACGAGAGUACCGUACGCAUAAGCAUCGGCUAACUCCGUGCCAGCAGCCGCGGUAAUACGGGGGGUGCAAGCGGUAUCCGGAUUUAUUGGGUUUAAAGGGUGCGUAGGCUGUGAGGUAAGUCAGCGGUGAAAUGCCCCCGCUCAACGGGGUGAAGUGCCAUGGAUACUGGCUGGCUGGAGUGCGGAUGCCGUGGGAGGAAUGUGUGGUGUAGCGGUGAAAUGCAUAGAUAUCACACAGAACACCGAUUGCGAAGGCAUCUCACGAAUCCGCGAUUGACGCUGAUGCACGAAAGCGUGGGUAGCAAACAGGAUUAGAUACCCUUGUAGUC
rnacentral:rRNA from 1 species